rnacentral:rRNA from 1 species
AGAGUUUGAUCAUGGCUCAGAUUGAACGCUGGAGGUAUGCUUAACACAUGCAAGUCGAACGCGAAAGUUCCUUCGGGAGCGAGUAGAGUGGCGAACGGGGGAGUAAUGCAUGGGAAUCUGCCCAGUAGUGGGGGACAACAGUUGGAAACGACUGCUAAUACCGCAUACGCCCCAGGGGAUCUUCGGACCUUGCGCUAUUGGAUGAGCCUAAGUCAGAUUAGCUUGUUGGUGGGGUAAAAGCCUACCAAGGCGACGAUCUGUAGCUGGUCUGAGAGGAUGAUCAGCCACACUGGGACUGAGACACGGCCCAGACUCCUACGGGAGGCAGCAGUGGGGAAUAUUGGACAAUGGGCGCAAGCCUGAUCCAGCAAUGCCGCGUGUGUGAAGAAGGCCUGCGGGUUGUAAAGCACUUUCAGUAGCGAGGAAAAGCUUAAGGUUAAUAACCUUGAGUCUUGACGUUAACUACAGAAGAAGCACCGGCUAACUCUGUGCCAGCAGCCGCGGUAAUACAGAGGGUGCGAGCGUUAAUCGGAAUUACUGGGCGUAAAGCGCGCGUAGGCGGUUUGUUUAGUGGGAUGUGAAAGCCCCGGGCUCAACCUGGGAACUGCAUUCGAAACUGUUAAGCUAGAGUAUGGUAGAGGUAAGUGGAAUUUCCUGUGUAGCGGUGAAAUGCGUAGAUAUAGGAAGGAACAUCAGUUGCGAAGGCGGCUCACUGGACCAAUACUGACGCUGAGGUGCGAAAGCGUGGGUAGCAAACAGGAUUAGAUACCCUGGUAGUCCACGCCGUAAACGAUGUCUACUAGCCGUUGGUUGACCCUUUAGUGGCGCAGCUAACGCAUUAAGUAGACCGCCUGGGGAGUACGGCCGCAAGGUUAAAACUCAAAUGAAUUGACGGGGGCCCGCACAAGCGGUGGAGCAUGUGGUUUAAUUCGAUGCAACGCGAAGAACCUUACCAGGCCUUGACAUCCUAGGAAUCUUGUAGAGAUACGAGAGUGCCUUCGGGAAUCUAGUGACAGGUGCUGCAUGGCUGUCGUCAGCUCGUGUCGUGAGAUGUUGGGUUAAGUCCCGCAACGAGCGCAACCCUUGUCCUUAUUUGCCAGCACGUAAUGGUGGGAACUCUAAGGAGACUGCCGGUGACAAACCGGAGGAAGGUGGGGACGACGUCAAGUCAUCAUGGCCCUUACGGCCUGGGCUACACACGUGCUACAAUGGGAAGUACAAAGGGUUGCUAAGCCGCGAGGUGGAGCCAAUCCCAUAAAGCUUCUCGUAGUUCGGAUUGGAGUCUGCAACUCGACUCCAUGAAGCCGGAAUCGCUAGUAAUCGCGAAUCAGAAUGUCGCGGUGAAUACGUUCCCGGGCCUUGUACACACCGCCCGUCACACCAUGGGAGUGGGUUGCAAAAGAAGUGGGUAGACUAACCUUCGGGAGGUCGCUCACCACUUUGUGAUUCAUGACUGGGGUGAAGUCGUAACAAGGUAGCCGUA